CAGUCGCCGCGGGAAUACAGAGGGUGCAAGCGUUAAUCGGAAUUACUGGGCGUAAAGCGCGCGUAGGUGGUUUGUUAAGUUGGAUGUGAAAUCCCCGGGCUCAACCUGGGAACUGCAUCCAAAACUGGCAAGCUAUAGUAUGGUAGAGGGUGGUGGAAUUUCCUGUGUAGCGGUGAAAUGCGUAGAUAUAGGAAGGAACACCAGUGGCGAAGGCGACCACCUGGACUGAUACUGACACUGAGGUGCGAAAGCGUGGGGAGCAAACAGGAUUAGAUACCCGUGUAGUCCCUGUCUCUUAUAC
rnacentral:rRNA from 1 species